AACAGACUCUGGCUGCGUAGGUAAACUCUAGCAUUUCAAGGUGAGGAGCAGGGACCUAGGAAGAAGGAAUUCCCCAAUUGUCUUUCCAGGGUGCUUCUCUUGGUUAGCUGAGCUCAAACUAUUUUCUAGUUGCUACUUUUAAGAUUUAAAUUAUAGGGAGUGAGCAACUGAGUCACCUAGCCAGAAGAUAACCACUGGGAAUUAUCGGGGAACUGUCAUUCCAACCUAAGACAUCAGGAAGCUACUGCUGGAGAAGAUGGGAUGGAUAUUUGUCAGCUGAAAGAUUGCUGGGGAAUUAUGGGAAGAUGCUGCCAUAUAUGGGCCACCUACGGGGUGUGGAAGGAGUCAAAGCCAGGGGGGCCUAUUGGCAAGUCAGCCCAGAGGAACAUUUUGACCGUGAUCACUAAAAUCCCU
rnacentral:lncRNA from 1 species